AGGGUUUGAUUCUGGCUCAGGACGAACGCUGGCGGCGUGCUUAACACAUGCAAGUCGAACGAAAAGACGGAAAGAGCUUGCUCUUUUCAGAAUUGAGUGGCAAACGGGUGAGUAACACGUAAACAACCUGCCUUCAGGAUGGGGACAACAGACGGAAACGACUGCUAAUACCGAAUAAGUUCCAAGAGCCGCAUGGCCCAUGGAAGAAAAGGUGGCCUCUACCUGUAAGCUAUCGCCUGAAGAGGGGUUUGCGUCUGAUUAGCUGGUUGGAGGGGUAACGGCCCACCAAGGCGACGAUCAGUAGCCGGUCUGAGAGGAUGAACGGCCACACUGGAACUGAGACACGGUCCAG
rnacentral:rRNA from 1 species